rnacentral:lncRNA from 1 species
GAGAGGUUGCACAUGCUGCGAGAUCUGACGCAGGUAACGCUGAAGCUGCGGACGAAUGUGAAGAGCAGAAGAGGAUGGAGGCAGAGCAGUUGGUGCGAGACUCUGAGUACCGGCAACAUGUCAUUAGUGCCGGUACGCACAAAAAAGUGCAGUAAAUACAACGACAAGCGAAUCCACUACAAAAACAAGCUGAGCCGGGCCAGAGGGGUUUACCUGAGAGAGACGGGGUGGCGUGACAAAAAAUUAAAGAUUUUUAUUGUGGGGAAACAGGAGGAAAAGACGGCACAGAUGAUGAAGACAGUCACAUCUGAAAAUGAGAGUCUGCUUCAGAAGAACAGCGAGCUUCUUUUACAGCUGCAUGACUUUGAAGAGGCACAGAAAAAUGCUUCGGAUGUGAUUUCCACCAUGCAGAUGAGGAUACAUUUGCUUGAAGAAGAAAAUAUUCAUCUAAAGCGGACAACAGCACAGAUGUCGGAGCGCAUCGAAUGCCUGACGAUACUGGCCGAGACCAACUGCGAUGCAAGUACAAUCCUUGAACAAGUACAUUGCUUUAGAUCUAAUUUUCAGCUUUACGAAUUGAGAAUGCUGAUAGUUUAGGUGAUCUUUGUUCACAUUCUACUGCAGGAAGUCACUGCCGAGAGUCGUGCCAUAGAGGGCCAAGAAAAAAACUACUCUUCCUACAUAAAUAUCUUCAGCUUUCUUUCCAGUGCAAAUUCAAUUAUUUUUGUAAACCUAAAUAUUUCUAAAUAAAGGUCUCAUCCCAUUGUUUUGUCUAUGUAAUCUACAAAAAAACUAAUUUUCCUCAUGUGAGAACAUAACUGACAUAAUGACGGGGCAGUGAGUCAAUAACAAGAAAAUGCUCCCUUAUGUGCCGUCUUCAAGUCCCC